GAGAUUUAUCAGCUAAAGACAAGGUGAUACCAAAGUUAGCAAAAUUUAGAGAGCUGUGAAAACUGGAGGGCUUCUUUCUGGCCCUACAUUGCAAGUGCAUGAGCCUGGGCAUUUACACUCCAGAAAAGGAUGCCUGGGUGUCUGUGAGUAGCAGUCCUGCUCCCUGCAGCUCCCACUGGGAACAAUCUCCGUGCCCUGAAGGGAUGAUGCUAGUGAGUGCCAACUAGAAGAAAGCAAAGCAGAAGGCCUGAGGCAAGUGCCCAGAUUGAUGUCUAGCACAGUCUCCUGUAUCACUGAGCUGCAGAAGUAGGUUAGAAACUUGAGAGAGAGACUGUAGCAUUUCUAUCCAAAAUAGCAAGUGCUUUCUUGGGCAAUCCCUGACUUACUGCUGCUGUCUACCCAUUUCUCUUGGUCACUUCAGUCCCAUGGUUACUUUGGCUAACAUCCAAAGCCAAUCCCUGUCUCCUGCACCACCUAUGCAAACCUCAGGCUGAGAUGGAAGCUGAAAAGAUACUUGGAUCACAGGAGAGGGCUGGAGGCUUCUGAAGUCAUCACCAUAUUCCCUUUCAAAUGGCUGCAGCAGCAGACUGAGUGUUUUUCACAAGUUCAAGCUGAACAAAACAACAACAACAACAACAAAAAAAAUGGAAUGCAGCUACAGAAGCAACCCUGUACUUCUCAUGAAGAACACAAUGUCAGGAAACACAAACAGGCAACCACAGCAUCCCUCUGGAUCUGCAUAACUAGAAGUGAAAAUUUCCUUGCAUUCCAGAAUAAAACUUGGCAUGGUUGAGUUUAUUUAUGGCAAUGGAAUCUUUAAUGAGCCAUACUCUCCAAAGACACACUCUCAACUGUUAAAAGAAAAGUUGUACUCAUUUAAAAAGUCUUAUAUUGUUGAAAUAGAACUGCUUAACAUUUAAAAUAUAUUUUCUAAUUUUAGCUAUAUCAUACAAAUCUCAAACAUCUUCUAUUAGAAGCAAUAUACUCUCCAUUUUCUUAUUCAGGUUUUGUGACAUCUUUUCCUAUAAUUUCAGCUACAAAGAAAAAAUGAGUGACAGGUUUCAUAAUAUCAAAUCCUGAAAAGGAGGUGUUAAUUGGUAUUUAAGAAUUGCAGUCCAGAGCAUUCAAAAGUCCUAUUCGUUAUCUACUCACUUAGAAGCAAGAGGAUUUCUAUCUAGCACCAGUGGAUUUGAAUAGCAUAUGCAUCAUAGCUAUCAACAAAGACCACUCUAUAUAAUGGACAUAAUAUCUGUGUAGUUUACAUGGCAUUAAAUAUAUCUGUUGAUAGCCACAUACUAAAUUAAUAAAAAUUAUUUUAGAAAGAAAAAGUAGAAAGAA
rnacentral:lncRNA from 1 species